rnacentral:rRNA from 1 species
AUUGAACGCUGGCGGAAUGCUUUACACAUGCAAGUCGAACGGCAGCACGGGGGCAACCCUGGUGGCGAGUGGCGAACGGGUGAGUAAUACAUCGGAACGUGCCCAGUCGUGGGGGAUAACGUAGCGAAAGCUACGCUAAUACCGCAUACGAUCUACGGAUGAAAGCGGGGGAUCGCAAGACCUCGCGCGAUUGGAGCGGCCGAUGGCAGAUUAGGUAGUUGGUGGGGUAAAGGCUCACCAAGCCGACGAUCUGUAGCUGGUCUGAGAGGACGACCAGCCACACUGGGACUGAGACACGGCCCAGACUCCUACGGGAGGCAGCAGUGGGGAAUUUUGGACAAUGGGCGCAAGCCUGAUCCAGCCAUGCCGCGUGAGUGAAGAAGGCCUGG